ACAUAUCAACCCUUCCAGCUUCUUUGGAGGCUGGUUUGUGGCUUGGAUGCUGGGGGUAUCUUUGCUGGCCUCUCAAGGUCGGCUCCCCUGAAAUGCAUUAGCGGAACCGUUUGCGGGUCUGUCACUGGUGUGAUAAUUAUCUGCGCCAAAGAUGGACGUGCUCUCUGUCUGUUCAGCUUACAAUAGUCCUGUUUACUUGGACAACUUAAUUAAU
rnacentral:misc_RNA from 1 species